AGUUGCUUCAUCUUAGAGCCUGCCCUCCUGGAAGGACCUAAGGCUUGAAGAGGGUUUUCCCUGUGAUCAACAGAGGAAAAAGGUUUUUCUGAAUUUGGCUGCUGGCAGCAUCAGUGAGAAGAUCUCUGAACCUACUUGGACAUCUACCAACUGAAGAUCCUGGCCCUAUUUGAUUGGACUCCUGAUGAGGAAACUGAGGCAAACAGGAUUAAAUGACUUGCCUAGAGUCACACAGCUGGACAAGAACUUCCCGGUUAUGUCAACUGCUUAGGGGCAAAGAAACUUCUAAAAGACAGUACCAUGUAGCAGAUGGCAGCUACAGGAACAGGGAUAUGAAGCAGCUGAGAUAGAGACAGAUGGCAGCUGUGGAAGAGGUAGUGGCAGCAUCAGCAGCAAAGAGAUGGAGCAGCCAGCAAACUGAUUCACAGAACUGGUACUUUCCAUUGGAGCAGCAAUCACAGGACACACACACAGGAUUUGCCUAAUGAUGAAUUUAUUUCUUGCUGGACUGAGUCCCCUUUAUCUGUUUUUAUGUUAACUUGUAUUUGUCCUUAUCUGCCUUUUGUACUAUAAAAGUACAUUUUAUAUUCAAUGUUUAUGUUCAAAAUACUUAGGGGUUUCCUAUCUGAUUGCUAUUAAAGGAGCUGACCUGAA